AAGUCGUAACAAGGUUUCCGUAGGUGAACCUGCGGAAGGAUCAUUAUUGAAUUGUUUGUCUGAAUUGGCUUAAAACCCCAAUUCAACAACACAUAUCCAUAACACCUGUGCACUGUUGGAUGAGCAAACUCGCAAGAGCAAGCAAGUCCACUUUUACACCAAACAAUUUGUAACAAAUGUAGUCUUAUUAUAACAAUAAUAAAACUUUCAACAACGGAUCUCUUGGUUCUC
rnacentral:misc_RNA from 1 species